ACGAACGCUGGCGGCGUGCUUAACACAUGCAAGUCGAGCGGUAAGGCCUCUUCGGGGGUACACGAGCGGCGAACGGGUGAGUAACACGUGGGUGACCUGCCCUCAGCUCUGGGAUAAGCCUGGGAAACUGGGUCUAAUACCGGAUAUGACCUUUCCUCGCAUGGGGUUGGGUGGAAAGUUUUUUCGGCUGGGGAUGGGCCCGCGGCCUAUCAGCUUGUUGGUGGGGUGAUGGCCUACCAAGGCGACGACGGGUAGCCGGCCUGAGAGGGCGACCGGCCACACUGGGACUGAGACACGGCCCAGACUCCUACGGGAGGCAGCAGUGGGGAAUAUUGCGCAAUGGGCGGAAGCCUGACGCAGCGACGCCGCGUGGGGGAUGACGGCCUUCGGGUUGUAAACCUCUUUCGACCUUGACGAAGCCUUUCAGGGUGACGGUAGGGGUAGAAGAAGCACCGGCCAACCACGU
rnacentral:rRNA from 1 species